UCCAGACUCCUACGGGAGGCAGCAGUGGGGGAUAUUGCACAAUGGGGGAAACCCUGAUGCAGCGACGCCGCGUGGGCGAAGAAGUAUUUCGGUAUGUAAAGCCCUCUCAGCAGGGAAGAAGAAAUGACGGUACCUGAGUAAGAAGCACCGGCUAAAUACGUGCCAGCAGCCGCGGUAAUACGUAGGGGGCAAGCGUUAUCCGGAUUUACUGGGUGUAAAGGGAGCGUAGACGGAAAGGCAAGUCAGAAGUGAAAACCCAAGGCUCAACCAUGGGACUGCUUUUGAAACUGUCAAACUAGAGUACGGGAGAGGUAAGAGGAAUUCCUAGUGUAGCGGUGAAAUGCGUAGAUAUUAGGAGGAACACCAGUGGCGAAGGCGUCUUACUGGAUCGAAACUGACGUUGAGGCUCGAAAGCGUGGGGAGCAAACAGGAUUAGAUACCCGAGUA
rnacentral:rRNA from 1 species